UAAGCCAGAUUGACCAAGGAUCAUAAAAAGUGCACUUGAGAGGGAGUGGGGGAAGCUGGGAGGGGAAGAUGGGGCAGGGCGGGGGAGGAGGGAGUAAGAAUUGAAGAGCUGGUAUUUUUGUUCAAGCAGAAACACACAGAUAAUUUGAAGAAAUCAUACAAAUGUAAUCACACACAGAUUAGGUAGAGCCAUUACUACAAUCACCUGAAGAAAUAUAUUAUUUCUCUUACUCAUGGGUUUAAUUUCAGUCUCUUAUUUUGAACUAACUGAGCAGCAUCGUGUCAUACAAUGGACAGGGUGGGGGAAACUGAAGCUUGGAAUCUCCAGCCUGCUGGCUCCGGUCUCCUGUUGCAAUGCUGCCCUUAACCUCGCUGGGCAUCAACUACACCAGAAGAGCACUGGCUAUGAUCUCUGGAGUGUCUCCCACUUCAGAUUUUGGCUUUUUGGUCACCAGGCAUGUCCCCGACCAGGGAUUGAACCUGCACUCCUGGCAUUGGAAAGUGAAGUCUUAAGCUCGGGACCACCAGGGAAGCCUCUACACCAAUCUUCUUAAAGGACACAAGUUUCACAAGUAAUUGCCCCAAAGAUGACAACUUAACUUUAAUUUUUUUCAAAGAGUGCCUUGAUUGUGGCCAGCUAUUAGCAAUCUUUCUCUCCAUGUUUUUAAGGCAAUAUUCUCUUUCAGCUUUGCUGAGGGACCCCAGUUUGACACAGUGUGAGAUGUUAAGAAGGUUCUGAUUAGCCUUUCAGAAUGAGCAACCUGAAUUUUUUUUUUUAAAGGAUACAUUUACCUUCCAGAGCUUUUCAUAGCAAAACAUUUUGCAUGGUUGCAAAAGAAAUUAAUUUGUUGCCAGUUGCUCCAUACUGGCAGGAAUUCUGAAUAAAGAAUGUAAGCAAUCUAUCUUUGUUUGCAAGAUAUAAUUAAUCUGGCAGUUAAAAUUCUUUGGAAACAUUCUGAUGACUUAUGUGGAAAAGUAGCGCAGCAUUUUCAAAGAAAACUCAGAACUGUAUGCAGGGGAAGAUAAAAGAUAUAUGAAGUGUUUGUUCUAAGCAAUACUAUUCAUUUAAAGAUCAUAAUGUAACCCCACCCUAGCAAUUAUUGUGAAAAACAAGACAAAUCUCUGUCUAUAGCUUUCUGACACAGUCUUGAUUUGAGAAACAAAAUAAGCACAUUACUGUUAUAGUCUAAUAGACUGCAAGCUGUUUUAUUAGAGUCAGCUGAAUCCUGUUUUGCAUAAAAAAGAACUCUGUUUGCUAUCAAGAACACAUUUACAUUAAUAUGACUUUGACAAAGUAAAAUAAAAUCGCAUUAAGAUGAUGUAAGUAGAUAAGACAAUGAAAUCUCUGUGAGAGAGUUUUGGCAUACACUAAUUACAGUCAAGUCCCUGCAGGAAAAGAACAUAUUUUUACACCAACUAUCCAUGUGUUUGAAAAUGUAGAGAGCCCAAAAUGCAAUCCUUAGUUUAGGUAUUUCCUGAAUACAUUGUGCUUCUGAGGUAGAUUUUUUUUUUUUAAAGGAGCCUGCCUGAUAAAUAAUACUUUCAGUUACUAUAACACAAGCAAGUUUCUUUCUGAAUACCAGCCUGUAAUCAUCCUGAUUAUUUUAAGGGACUUUCCAAUAUAGGACAGCUGAAAACAAGGUUUUAGAUUACAUGGUAAUUUAGGAAUGCAUGAAAAGCUAAGCAGUUACCAUAAUAGGGUCCUGGAUAAACUUCAUGGUUUUUAGAGCAAAACAUAACAACAUAUGUUUUGUGAUUUGUUUCAAUGAUUCUUCUAUAUUUUUUUCU